rnacentral:rRNA from 1 species
UACAGAGGUCUCAACCGUUGUUCGGAUUCAUUGGGCGUAAAGGGUGCGUAGGCGGCGGGGUAAGUCAGGUGUGAAAUCUCGGGGCUCAACCCCGAAACUGCACUUGAUACUGCCUCGCUUGAGUACUGGAGAGGAGACUGGAAUUACGGUGUAGCAGUGAAAUGCGUAGAUAUCAGGAGGAACACCAGUGGCGAAGGCGGCUGCCUGGGCCUGGCCUGACGCUGGAGGCGCGAAAGCGUGGGGAGCAAUCCGG